GGGGGGGGGGGGGGAGGGGGGGGGAGAGAGUGCUGAGAAGGGGGGGGUAGGGGGGGAUAACGCUGGGAAACGGACGCUAAUACCGCAUAUGUUCUACGGGAGAAAGCGGGGGACUUUCGGGCUUUGCGCUAUCAUAUGAGCCUAGGUCAGAUUAUCUAUUUGGUGAGGUAGUGGCUCACCAGGGCGACGAUCCGUAAGUGGUCUGAGAAGAUGAUCACUCACACUGGAACUGAGACACGGUCCACACUCCUACGGGAGGCAGCAGUGGGGAAUAUUGGACAGUGGGCGAAAGCCUGAUCCACCCAUGCCGCGUGUGUGAAAAAGGUCUUCAGAUUGUAAAGCACUUUAAGUUGGGAGGAAGGGCAGUUACCUAAUACUUAUCUGUUUUGACGUUACCGACAGAAUAAGCACCGGCUAACUCUGUGCCAGCAGCCGCGGUAAUACAGAGGGUGCAAGCGUUAAUCAGAAUUACUGGGCGUAAAGCGCGCGUAUGUGGUUCGUUAAGUUGGAUGUGAAAUCCCCGGGCUCAACCUGGAAACUGCAUUCAAAACUGACGAGCUAGAGUAUGGUAG
rnacentral:rRNA from 1 species